UCAGUUCAGGUGAGACUCCCCCUAAAUUUAAGCAUAUUACUAAGGGGAGGAAAAGAAACUAACCGGAUUCCUCAGUAGCGGCGAGCGAACAGGGAGAGCCCAGCGCUGAUUCCCCCGGCCUCGCUCGGCGGGAAAUGUAGCGUUUGGGAGGUCCGUCAACACGGCGUUUCGCGGUUCGCUCAAGUCCAACUUGAAUGGGGCCACACAGAGGGUGACAGGCCCGUAGAGCAGAAGCGAUCGCCGUGUGGAUCUCUCCUUAGAGUCGGUUUGCUUGAGAGUGCAGACCUAAGUGGGUGGUAAACUCCAUCUAAGGCUAAAUACAACCACGAGACCGAUAGCACACAAGUACCGUGAGGGAAAGGUGAAAAGAACUUUGAGGAGAGAGUUCAAUAGUACGUGAAACUGAGGUGGUGCAAACGGACGAGAUCGAAAAGUCCGAAUGGGGUGAUUCAAGUUUAUCCGUGCCGGUGGCGUGCGGGUUCAGAUCCUGCGGACGGCUCGGGCCUCUCGGGGUGCCGGGUUUUCUCCGUAUUACUCGGCCUGCGCGUAUCUGUCCGGUGCGGUUUACUGCACUUCUCCCCUUGUAGGACGUCGCAACCCGUUGGGAAGUUCCGAUCUAUGGCCCGUGGUGGAGCCCGUGCCCGAGCGCAGGUUCGCUUGUGUUGCGGUGCACGGACCCGCGGUGACCUGAUCGGCGCCCGACGGUAUCAAAGCUAGGGAAGGGACCGCACAGAGGUUGCGUUCGAUGCCCGUACUGGGCUACACUCGGACAGGUCCGUACCCGGUCAGCGGCGCUACUGCUUUCGAUACUCGUCCGACCCGUCUUGAAACACGGACCAAGGAGUCU
rnacentral:rRNA from 1 species